AGUAUAAGAAGUGUCGGGAAAAGUAAAAUUUAUAAUAUUAGUUAUUAUAUAUGUAUAUGCUUUUCACUAAUUUUUUUGAGGAUAAGCUCAAAAAAAAGUUAAGGCUUAAUUUUUGAUUAAAAUUGUUGUGUAGGUUUAAAAUUGAUCACCAGAAAAGUUUUUUAUAAAAUAAUAACCUUAGUUUUAUAAAUAAAUAUAAUUUAGACUAACCUUUAUACGGGGAUAAAAACUUUAAUUAAACAAGUUUUAUACUUAUGCUAGAAUGAGUAUUAGAACUUAAUUACAAGAAGAAGCUUAUUUAUGUACUUCUCUAAAAAUUUAUUUAAAAAAAUUAAUUAAUUAGAAGGAACUCGGCAAAUUUAGUUGUUUCGCCUGUUUAUCAAAAACAUGGCUCUUUGAUUAUACAAAUAUAGAGAGUCGGGCCUGCCCAGUGAAAAUUUUUUUAACGGCCGCGGUACUCUGACCGUGCAAAGGUAGCAUAAUCAUUUGCCUUAUAAUUGGAGGCUAGUAUGAAUGGUUUGACGAAAACAACGCUGUCUCCUUUUUAUUUUCAAGAAUUUAACUUUUAGGUGAAGAGGCCUAAAUUUUAUUGAAGGACAAGAAGACCCUGUCGAGCUUAAAAGAUAUUGUAGAGUCUUAUAUAUUUUUAAAUAAAUUUCUACUGAGCUUUUUAGUUGGGGCGACUAAGGAACAAAAAAAGCUUCUUGUUAAUAAUAAACAAUCACGUUUAGAUCCGGCAAUAGUCGAUAAAAGAAAUUAGUUACCGCAGGGAUAACAGCAUAAUCUUUCUUGAGAGACCUAAUCGAAAGAAGGGGUUGUGACCUCGAUGUUGGACUAGAAUAUCCUAAAGAUGCAGAAGUCUUUGAGG
rnacentral:rRNA from 1 species